CGCGGGCGUGCAAGCUGCUGUGCAUCCACGUUUGCAUGCAUGUGUGGCGCGUGUGCAAUGUGUGCGUUGACGAACACAUAUUUUGCAUGUAUGUGCACCCAUUUUUGCGCCUGCAUCUGCAUCUUUGUGCAUGCACAUGCAUGCAUGUGCAUGCCUUAAUUAUGCACACGCAUCUGCACAUGCACCCCUAUGCAUUCGCAGCACAUGCCUUUUGCAUGCAUGCAUUUCAUGGGCUUGCAAACUCUUCCACGUGUCUGCAUGCAUUGGGCAAUGUGCAUGCUUUGUUUUUUUUUGCAUGCAUGCACACCCAUCUGCUUGCACGCCCAUCCAUUUGCAUGGAUCAAAUCUUGUCCGUAUACUUGCACACCCAUGACGUUGCAUGCAUGCAUUUGUUUGCAUCCAAAUUCAUGUGCAUGCAUUUGCAGCUGUAUGCAUCUGCACUGCACAAUUAUGUGCAUGCACUUACUUGUACAUUCAUGUUUUUGUAUGUUUGCAUUCACACGUUUGCCCGCAUUUGUUCACGUGUGUGUGUGCGUGCACUGUUGGUGCAUCCAUGUGCAUGUACGUGCACUUCUGUGAAUACAUGCACUUAGGUUUGCAUAUGUGCAAGCAUUUGCUGUGUGUGCAUUUUUUAUUUGUUGCAUGUUCAUGGCUGCAAAUGCAUCUGCACAUGCGUUCUGCUGUAUGCAUGCACAUGCAUCCGUGAGCACACUUGUGUGCAUCCAUUCGCAGCACAAGCAUUUAAGUGCAUGCAGGCGCAGGUUUGCAUUUAUAUGCAUCUGCAUGUGUAUGUGCUCACAUCUAUGCAUGCACACUUGCUGGUGUGCAUUUGUAACAUGCCUUUUUUGUGCGUGCACUUGUCUGCAUGCUCAUUCACAAGCAAGCACCCGCAUGUGUGCAGCCAUGUGCACGUGCUUGCAGCACAUGCAUCUACGUGCAAGGACUUGCAGGGGGCAUGCACACAACCAUACAUUCAUUCAAAGUGCAUACAUUUACAUGCAUUUGCAGCGUGUGAAUCUGUGUGCAUGCACUUGCAGCUGUGUGCGCUCAUGUGCAUGUGCCUCCAGCAUACAUCACAUGCAUUUGGCUGCAUGCACCUGCAGGCAUGUGCAUCCAUGCCCAUGC
rnacentral:lncRNA from 1 species